rnacentral:tRNA from 1 species
GGGAGUGGAUGGGGCCCGGUGGCUCCCGCGGUCUUCAAAACCGUUGUCCCGACGCGCGAGCGUCGGGAGGUGGGUUCGACUCCCAUGCACUCCC